rnacentral:rRNA from 1 species
AUUGAACGCUGGCGGAAUGCUUUACACAUGCAAGUCGAACGGUAGAGGGGGCAACCCCUUGAGAGUGGCGAACGGGUGAGUAAUAUAUCGGAACGUGCCCAGUCGUGGGGAUAACGUAGCGAAAGUUACGCUAAUACCGCAUACGAUCUACGGAUGAAAGCGGGGGACUCGCAAGAGCCUCGCGCGAUUGGAGCGGCCGAUAUCAGAUUAGGUAGUUGGUGGGGUAAAGGCUCACCAAGCCAACGAUCUGUAGCUGGUCUGAGAGGACGACCAGCCACACUGGAACUGAGACACGGUCCAGACUCCUACGGGAGGCAGCAGUGGGGAAUUUUGGACAAUGGACGCAAGUCUGAUCCAGCCAUUCCGCGUGCAGGAUGAAGGCCCUCGGGUUGUAAACUGCUUUUGUACGGAACGAAAAGGUUUCUAUUAAUACUAGGAGCUCAUGACGGUACCGUAAGAAUAAGCAACCGGCUAACUACGUAGCCAGCAGCCGCGGU